rnacentral:rRNA from 1 species
GAUGAACGCUAGCGGCAGGCUUAAUACAUGCAAGUCGAGGGCCUAGUAAUAGGACCGGCGCACGGGUGCGUAACACGUAUGCAACCUGCCUGUAUCUGGGGGAUAGCCCGAGGAAACUCGGAUUAAUACCGCAUACCACUGAGGAUUGGCAUCAAUUUUCAGUGAAAGAUUUAUCGGAUACAGAUGGGCAUGCGCAGGAUUAGCUAGUUGGUGUGGUAACGGCACACCAAGGCGACGAUCCUUAGGGGCUCUGAGAGGAGUAACCCCCACACUGGCACUGAGAUACGGGCCAGACUCCUACGGGAGGCAGCAGUAGGGAAUAUUGGGCAAUGGAGGCAACUCUGACCCAGCCAUGCCGCGUGCAGGAAGACGGCCCUCUGGGUUGUAAACUGCUUUGUAUGGGAAAAAUCGAAUCUUACGUGUAGGAUGUUGAUGGUACCAUGAGAAUAAGG